GCCAUAGCUCAGUGGUAGAGCAUCUCCUUUACAUGCAGAAAGCCUCAGGUUCAAUCUGCAGCAUCUGCA